UACGUAGGUGGCGAGCGUUAUCCGGAUUUACUGGGUGUAAAGGGUGUGUAGGCGGGGAAGCAAGUCAGAUGUGAAAACUAUGGGCUCAACCCAUAAAGUGCAUUCGAAACUGUUUUUCUUGAGGAUCGGAGGGGUAAAUAGAAUUCCCGGUGUAGCGGUGAAAUGCGUAGAUAUCGGGAGGAAUACCGGUGGCGAAGGCGAUUUACUGGACGAUUACUGACGCUGAGACACGAAAGCGUGGGGAGCAAAC
rnacentral:rRNA from 1 species